AUUGAACGCUGGCGGCAUGCUUUACACAUGCAAGUCGAACGGCAGCGGGGGCUUCGGCCUGCCGGCGAGUGGCGAACGGGUGAGUAAUGCAUCGGAACGUGCCCAGUCAUGGGGGAUAACUACGCGAAAGCGUAGCUAAUACCGCAUACGCCCUGAGGGGGAAAGCGGGGGAUCGCAAGACCUCGCGUGAUUGGAGCGGCCGAUGUCGGAUUAGCUAGUUGGUGGGGUAAAGGCCUACCAAGGCGACGAUCCGUAGCGGGUCUGAGAGGAUGAUCCGCCACACUGGGACUGAGACACGGCCCAGACUCCUACGGGAGGCAGCAGUGGGGAAUUUUGGACAAUGGGGGGCAACCCUGAUCCAGCCAUGCCGCGUGAGUGAAGGAGGCCUUC
rnacentral:rRNA from 1 species